AGUUCUUGCUUCGUUUUUACCCAUAAGAUAAAGAUAAAGAUGAAGAAAAAGAAAAAAGACCCAAAUAAAGAAAGCGAAUACUAGAAGCAUCCUGGUAGGACCAGCAGUUGGGUCUCCAUCAACUCAACUUCCGGAUGAAGUUGAGAGCACUUCAGAAUCAAGUUGAAGGCAAAAAGAUUAAAAAAGGAGAAGAAGAUAAGGACAACAAAGGAAAAGGAGGUGGAAUCCACCAAAGGGUCUGACAAAACGGCCGUGAUUUCAACUCAAUGCGAGUGGAGUAUAUAUUUCCAUCCCUUCUCAAAUAAGUGUGUAUCCAACGAAUCUCCAACCGAAGUUCAGGAACUUCAUCUCCCCUGUGUUUCUGGCGCAGAGAGCACGAGAUGGAAAACCUUUCGAUAGAGCUGUGGAGUCUUUGCCGACAGGGUUUGGAGUGGAAGCCUGCUGUGGAGGUGCUCGUCAAUCAUUACUUGAAGUUGAAAGAACGAGCUAUGUAUUGGUGCCCCAAUCAGUCCCGGUGUUCACUAGGAACACGCGAGCAGGGGCCAUGCACGAAUAUCACCUAAAGCCGUUCUCUUGUAGUAUGCUUCAGGAGGCAGGAGAAUUUGUCCUUGGCCUCUUGAAAGAAAUACAAGAUGAGAAGGCUGAUAAUCGUUCUUCAUCAACAUACGUGGCACCUCAAUCAAGGCAGGUCUAAGAAUGUCAAGAUGCCUCAAGAGAGACGAUCCAUGUAUCUCUAAUAAAUAGUUGAAGAUAUGUCAACAAGGUGAUCUAGGUAAUUGGAGACGCUUGUGAAGUCAUCCGCAACCUAGUUUUCAUUUACUUAUUGUGGAGCACAAUGAUCUUUAUGAUAGAAUCAAAUAAACCCUCUUUCUUGUCAAGAA